rnacentral:rRNA from 1 species
CUAAUACAUGCAAGUCGAACGAGUUUUGGUCGAUGAACGGUGCUUGCAUUGUGAUUCAACUUAAAACGAGUGGCGGACGGGUGAGUAACACGUGGGUAACCUGCCCUUAAGUGGGGGAUAACAUUUGGAAACAGAUGCUAAUACCGCAUAAAUCCAAGAACCGCAUGGUUCUUGGCUGAAAGAUGGCGCAAGCUAUCGCUUUUGGAUGGACCCGCGGCGUAUUAGCUAGUUGGUGAGGUAACGGCUCACCAAGGCGAUGAUACGUAGCCGAACUGAGAGGUUGAUCGGCCACAUUGGGACUGAGACACGGCCCAAACUCCUACGGGAGGCAGCAGUAGGGAAUCUUCCACAAUGGACGCAAGUCUGAUGGAGCAACGCCGCGUGAGUGAAGAAGGCUUUCGGGUCGUAAAACUCUGUUGUUGGAGAAGAAUGGUCGGCAGAGUAACUGUUGUCGGCGUGACGGUAUCCAACCAGAAAGCCACGGCUAACUACGUGCCAGCAGCCGCGGUAAUACGUAGGUGGCAAGCGUUAUCCGGAUUUAUUGGGCGUAAAGCGAGCGCAGGCGGUUUUUUAAGUCUGAUGUGAAAGCCCUCGGCUUAACCGAGGAAGCGCAUCGGAAACUGGGAAACUUGAGUGCAGAAGAGGACAGUGGAACUCCAUGUGUAGCGGUGAAAUGCGUAGAUAUAUGGAAGAACACCAGUGGCGAAGGCGGCUGUCUGGUCUGUAACUGACGC